UACGUAGGGUGCAAGCGUUGUUCGGAAUUACUGGGCAUAAAGGGUGCGUAGGCGGUUUGUUAAGUCACUGGUGAAAGUUUUCGGCCCAACCGGAAAAUUGCCUGUGAUACUGGCGAACUUGAGUGCGUGAGGGGUGGGGGGAACGAGCAGUGUAGCGGUGAAAUGCGUAGAUAUCGGGAGGAAUACCGAUGGCGAAGGCAGGUCUCUGGGCUGACACUGACGCUCAUGCACGAAAGCGUGGGGAGCAAACAGG
rnacentral:rRNA from 1 species